AAAUUGAAGAGUUUGAUCAUGGCUCAGAUUGAACGCUGGCGGCAGGCCUAACACAUGCAAGUCGAACGGUAACAGGAAUCAGCUUGCUGAUUCGCUGACGAGUGGCGGACGGGUGAGUAAUGUCUGGGAAGCUGCCUGAUGGAGGGGGAUAACUACUGGAAACGGUAGCUAAUACCGCAUAACGUCGCAAGACCAAAGAGGGGGACCUUCGGGCCUCUUGCCAUCGGAUGUGCCCAGAUGGGAUUAGCUAGUAGGUGGGGUAACGGCUCACCUAGGCGACGAUCCCUAGCUGGUCUGAGAGGAUGACCAGCCACACUGGAACUGAGACACGGUCCAGACUCCUACGGGAGGCAGCAGUGGGGAAUAUUGCACAAUGGGCGCAAGCCUGAUGCAGCCAUGCCGCGUGUAUGAAGAAGGCCUUCGGGUUGUAAAGUACUUUCAGCGGGGAGGAAGGGAGUAAAGUUAAUACCUUUGCUCAUUGACGUUACCCGCAGAAGAAGCACCGGCUAACUCCGUGCCAGCAGCCGCGGUAAUACGGAGGGUGCAAGCGUUAAUCGGAAUUACUGGGCGUAAAGCGCACGCAGGCGGUUUGUUAAGUCAGAUGUGAAAUCCCCGGGCUCAACCUGGGAACUGCAUCUGAUACUGGCAAGCUUGAGUCUCGUAGAGGGGGGUAGAAUUCCAGGUGUAGCGGUGAAAUGCGUAGAGAUCUGGAGGAAUACCGGUGGCGAAGGCGGCCCCCUGGACGAAGACUGACGCUCAGGUGCGAAAGCGUGGGGAGCAAACAGGAUUAGAUACCCUGGUAGUCCACGCCGUAAACGAUGUCGACUUGGAGGUUGUGCCCUUGAGGCGUGGCUUCCGGAGCUAACGCGUUAAGUCGACCGCCUGGGGAGUACGGCCGCAAGGUUAAAACUCAAAUGAAUUGACGGGGGCCCGCACAAGCGGUGGAGCAUGUGGUUUAAUUCGAUGCAACGCGAAGAACCUUACCUGGUCUUGACAUCCACAGAACUUUCCAGAGAUGGAUUGGUGCCUUCGGGAACUGUGAGACAGGUGCUGCAUGGCUGUCGUCAGCUCGUGUUGUGAAAUGUUGGGUUAAGUCCCGCAACGAGCGCAACCCUUAUCCUUUGUUGCCAGCGGUCCGGCCGGGAACUCAAAGGAGACUGCCAGUGAUAAACUGGAGGAAGGUGGGGAUGACGUCAAGUCAUCAUGGCCCUUACGACCAGGGCUACACACGUGCUACAAUGGCGCAUACAAAGAGAAGCGACCUCGCGAGAGCAAGCGGACCUCAUAAAGUGCGUCGUAGUCCGGAUUGGAGUCUGCAACUCGACUCCAUGAAGUCGGAAUCGCUAGUAAUCGUGGAUCAGAAUGCCACGGUGAAUACGUUCCCGGGCCUUGUACACACCGCCCGUCACACCAUGGGAGUGGGUUGCAAAAGAAGUAGGUAGCUUAACCUUCGGGAGGGCGCUUACCACUUUGUGAUUCAUGACUGGGGUGAAGUCGUAACAAGGUAACCGUAGGGGAACCUGCGGUUGGAUCACCUCCUUA
rnacentral:rRNA from 1 species